ensembl:lncRNA
AUGGAAUUGAAAGGCACAGACAGAAUAAUCAGCAGACUCUCACCAUGCAAGUGCCAAUACCACUGAGUAAUGAAAAGGAAAGCGUGGGUGAUACGUGCACGAGUGGAUGGACCUUCAGAUAUUAUACUAAGUAGUUUUAAGCCAAUUUCAAAAAGAACCACCCACAUGCGCAUGCGUGUGUGUAUAGCUGGUGAACACUCGGUCAGCUCUAUGGAUCGUUCCAAUGCCAGCAUCAUAAUGCUAACGUUUCAGUCUAGAUCUGUGAGGUGCUGAUGUUGCUGGAGGAGGGUGAAGAGUAUAUGGGGCCUCUUGUACACCUUUUCUACAAAUUCCUGUGAGUCUAUGAUUAUUUCAAGACAAAAAGGUUGAAAGAAAGCAUAUUAAUUGCUGUGUUGGCCCAUGUUAGAAAUGUAUUACUAGCGUUGACUGGGUCACACAGCUGUCUUUUGCAUCACAGCGGUAGACAAAACUGAGGAAAGGCUCCAAUAGGGGAGGACCUGAAUCCAGGCAACUGCUUCUCUGUGAAAAAAUGGCAUCACUCAGGACGCUUCCCAAGAAAUAUUUGAGCAGCACCUCAGCCAAUAUGCAACUGCCCCAAAGAGGAAAUGCAGGAGCACUGUAGAACCCAAAGGCAGCAUUUGAAAGAUUUUCACAGUGUGCAUCCCAUCCUUCCUCAUGACAGCCCUGGAAGAACCGAAGCUGAAGAAUCGUGUUGCCGCCCUUUGCAUCCAUGGCUUCCUCUGGUGAUGAGUUUCUCCCAGCGAGCAGAAAUCACCACUUGGCCACCAUUAAGCAAGUGCUCAUAAACAAAGUCUAAACUCUACUACAAUAAGGUUUGCGUGGAAGGAGAAGAGGAAUUUUUACAAAGCACCAUAUGCAGCAGAAAUGUCUCUAAAUACAGUCUGAGCCCACAGAUUUUAGGUUCCUCUGGCUCUGACGUAAACAAGGCUGAGAAGAUCAGCUCUCUAAUUUUCAAGGCACAUGUGCCUGAGGGUCUUCAUAAGGGGACAUUUUGUCCUGAAAAGGUGAAUGGGUUUGCAAAGUUGACUGGACCUUAAUUGCAGACAAGGAAUUUCAGAAAACCCUGAGCCAAUUUUCAAGAGAGAAGAGUGACUUUCCAAACACAGAGUUAGAUUAUGGAGAAAUAUAAGAUUAUGUGUGCAACCCUGAAUGUGAGCCUGUGAUGAUGUUAGAGAUAUGGAUUUCUCUCAUUUCUUUAAUAAAAUCUGGUACCUAUCCCACAUUCUAGGCCUUGUGCUCAGCCACCCCACGAGUUAUCAGUUAUCCACACAGGGCCUGGCCUGAUGGCCUCUUGGGGUAGACAGGGAUGUGACUAUCUAGGUCCCAUAUUCUUUCUACUGCUAACUUGGGCUCAGAUAAAGCUACCUACAAAAGAUGCAGUGAUAGUAAUUUUAUAAUAAAGCUGAUGCCCAAAUGCACUGAUUGCUUUCUGGAGCUCUCUAUGUGUCUCCCUGGUCCUACUUCCUGUGUCACAUUCCCUUCACAUGCCUCAUCCUCCUGCGUUUGCUACGAAGACCAGUGGAUAAAUUCUCACCAGAGCCUCAAGCUGCAGGAAAAAGAGAAGUGAAUAUUCAUCUCUGGUGACAUGCAAUUGGUCUACCUUCCUGGAUGUGGGGAUAAGAAUAUAGAGCAACAGUCAUUUAUUUUCUUGAGUUCCAAAAAUCACUGUGGGUGGUGACUAUAGCUAUGAUAAUAACAGAUGCUUGCUCUUUGGAAUAAAAGCUAUGACAAACCCAGACAAUGUAUUAAAAAGCAGAAACUUCAUUUUGCUGACCAAAUUCUGUAUAGUCAAAGCUAUGGUUUUUCUAGUAGCCAUGUACAGAUGUGAGAAUUGCUCAUAGAAAAGGCUGAGC